rnacentral:rRNA from 1 species
GAUGAACGCUGGCGGCGUGCCUAAUACAUGCAAGUCGAGCGAACAGAUGAGGAGCUUGCUCCUCUGACGUUAGCGGCGGACGGGUGAGUAACACGUGGAUAACCUACCUAUAAGACUGGGAUAACUUCGGGAAACCGGAGCUAAUACCGGAUAAUAUAUUGAACCGCAUGGUUCAAUAGUGAGAGACGGUUUUGCUGUCACUUAUAGAUGGAUCCGCACCGCAUUAGCUAGUUGGUAAGGUAACGGCUUACCAAGGCAACGAUGCGUAGCCGACCUGAGAGGGUGAUCGGCCACACUGGAACUGAGACACGGUCCAGACUCCUACGGGAGGCAGCAGUAGGGAAUCUUCCGCAAUGGGCGAAAGCCUGACGGAGCAACGCCGCGUGAGUGAUGAAGGUCUUCGGAUCGUAAAACUCUGUUAUUAGGGAAGAACAAAUGUGUAAGUAACUAUGCACGUCUUGACGGUACCUAAUCAGAAAGCCACGGCUAACUACGUG